ACGAGUGGCGGACGGGUGAGUAACACGUGGGUAACCUGCCCUUAAGUGGGGGAUAACAUUUGGAAACAGAUGCUAAUACCGCAUAGAUCCAAGAACCGCAUGGUUCUUGGCUGAAAGAUGGCGUAAGCUAUCGCUUUUGGAUGGACCCGCGGCGUAUUAGCUAGUUGGUGAGGUAAUGGCUCACCAAGGCGAUGAUACGUAGCCGAACUGAGAGGUUGAUCGGCCACAUUGGGACUGAGACACGGCCCAAACUCCUACGGGAGGCAGCAGUAGGGAAUCUUCCACAAUGGACGCAAGUCUGAUGGAGCAACGCCGCGUGAGUGAAGAAGGCUUUCGGGUCGUAAAACUCUGUUGUUGGAGAAGAAUGGUCGGCAGAGUAACUGUUGUCGGCGUGACGGUAUCCAACCAGAAAGCCACGGCUAACUACGUGCCAGCAGCCGCGGUAAUACGUAGGUGGCAAGCGUUAUCCGGAUUUAUUGGGCGUAAAGCGAGCGCAGGCGGUUUUUUAAGUCUGAUGUGAAAGCCCUCGGCUUAACCGGAGGAAGCGCAUCGGAAACUGGGAAACUUGAGUGCAGAAGAGGACAGUGGAACUCCAUGUGUAGCGGUGAAAUGCGUAGAUAUAUGGAAGAACACCAGUGGCGAAGGCGGCUGUCUGGUCUGUAACUGAGCCUGAGGCUCGAAAGCAUGGGUAGCGAACAGGAUUAGAUACCCUGGUAGUCCAUGCCGUAAACGAUGAAUGCUAGGUGUUGGAGGGUUUCCGCCCUUCAGUGCCGCAGCUAACGCAUUAAGCAUUCCGCCUGGGGAGUACGACCGCAAGGUUGAAACUCAAAGGAAUUGACGGGGGCCCGCACAAGCGGUGGAGCAUGUGGUUUAAUUCGAAGCAACGCGAAGAACCUUACCAGGUCUUGACAUCUUUUGAUCACCUGAGAGAUCAGGUUUCCCCUUCGGGGGCAAAAUGACAGGUGGUGCAUGGUUGUCGUCAGCUCGUGUCGUGAGAUGUUGGGUUAAGUCCCGCAACGAGCGCAACCCUUAUGACUAGUUGCCAGCAUUUAGUUGGGCACUCUAGUAAGACUGCCGGUGACAAACCGGAGGAAGGUGGGGAUGACGUCAAAUCAUCAUGCCCCUUAUGACCUGGGCUACACACGUGCUACAAUGGAUGGUACAACGAGUUGCGAGACCGCGAGGUCAAGCUAAUCUCUUAAAGCCAUUCUCAGUUCGGACUGUAGGCUGCAACUCGCCUACACGAAGUCGGAAUCGCUAGUAAUCGCGGAUCAGCACGCCGCGGUGAAUACGUUCCCGGGCCUUGUACACACCGCCCGUCACACCAUGAGAGUUUGUAACACCCGAAGCCGGUGGCGUAACCCUUUAGGGAGCGAGCCGUCUAAGGUGG
rnacentral:rRNA from 1 species